CAAAAACAAGCUAUUCCUGAGGGAUGUCUGGUGUAAUCAUCCCAUUUGUUGCAUUUUCACUGAGAGCCAUAUUCUGUUUUACUGACCUUCUGUUUUCCAAUCCAUAUGGUGUUGAGAAGAACUUGGUUCUUCAAAAAGCUGAUUGGAUCUUCUUGGGACUAUAAGAGUGAUUCCCAGGGCUUCCACUCAAGGCCAUUGCAUUCCAUGUCAGUUGUCUAAUUGCAUUUCAAGAUUUAUACUUUCAUCAUUCACUACUAGACAAAUUAUUUUCUUUUCCUAGGGGUGUUUAGAGAGGUGAUAUUGGAAUAUCAGACACAGCAAAGAGUGUUUUGGGGUGAAGACCCUUUCAGCCCUGUUUUCUAGCCCUUGAUGGGGGCAUGAGACAACAAGCUUCCUCUCCAGUCAUUCUCUACACAUCUUCUAGGUCUUGUGCUUGUUUGGUAACCUAACUUGUAAUUGAAUGAGGCCACUAUGACAUGGACAGUAAGAACAUUGAAACCAAAGCCUUAGCAUGGUCCUGUCACUAACUGCACAUCAGCCCUUGAAACUGAGUGGGUCAACCCAACAAACUAAACACCUGAAACUAAACAAAAGAGCAUUAGUUCUCUAUUGUUAGAAAUAAUUCUGCUCUUAUAAGUAAAGGGCUACAGGAAGAGCAGUUUCCUGAAUAAAAUCUUGUUGUGACCAGUCUGGUUUGUAGAAGUAUUCUCUGAAAGUAUCAUUAAGACAGGAAUAGAAAACAAUUCAAAAACAUUUCCUUACUGCCAAGUAAAUGGGCCUCCUCAGCCCCAAGCCUAAAACAGCCUAAUCCCCAUACUCAUCUCUGUGUGCUUGGAACAGACAACUGGCCCAACUGCAGACAUGUAAGGACUGCCUUUGCUCAACUCGACCAGGGUAGGCCUCUAUCUACCUACUUUGGUAUAUCUCACUCACAUCAGGAAGAAGUGUGGGCUGGAGGUGUAGCUCAAUAGUAGAGUGCUUGCCUAAUGUGUAAGGCUGCAGGGCUCCCAGCUACAGGCUGAUAAUACAGCUUCACACUUCAUUUUCUUUUUUUUUUUUUUUUUUUUUUCUGAUGCUGGGGAUUGAACCUGCAGCUUCUCAGCUGUCUUUGUGGCCAGGUCUCAGACCUGUUUGUCUUCUUGCAAUUUUGUCCCAUUUAAAUCACCUCUCAGGGCCACGGAUUUAGCUCAGUGGUGCCGCCACCUGCCUCGCAAGCACAAGGUCCCAAGCUUGAUCCCUGGUACCAAUAAAUAAAUAAAUAAAUAGCCUCUCAGUGGGGAACUGCUACAUUUUGAAGAAUUUCUCAGUCUAUUAAAAAAAGUGUCCCUGACUAUUUGGAAUGCCACACAUACCAUCCACACUCACCUGUCAUGGUAGGUGGGCAGUUCAUGUGGUUUUACAAAUAUGCUACAUCUCGCCAAUGUUUUUCAGUUUUCCAGGACAAACGAGAUUUAGGGACUAUAUACCUUAUUAGGCAAAAUAUCAAGUCAAAAUGCAGUUCUUUUUUAGCCAUAAGAAGGAGUGACUAUCACUACUGGGGCCCAUUGUUUUACAGAGAUACAACGGGAAUUUUGGGGGAUAGGAGAUGAAGUUCUUCCUUGGAAGCUGACUGUGCCCUUUUUUGCUACUUCACUGCCAUGGAAUGAUCUUAGUACUGUAUUUUAGAGAUGCUCCUUCCUCAACAGGCAUUUGCUGAAUCAAUGUCUGGCUUCAGGUGGGAGGAAAUUUUUCAGAUGAAGCUGGUUAAGUUCCACUUACCCAAUUCACAUCACUCUGAAAUGGAGAUAGAGGUGACAAACUUCAGCUUAUAGGUUUCUUACCAAAUCAUAUGUUCCCUUUGCCCAGUAUUCUUGCACUAAUGGGUUUCCAUCACAUCAUGUCUAUAAAUGGGUGCACUUUACUGUUUGAAUUUGUAACUCUGAUAAAUACUGGAUAUUUAAGUGUGAGUAGUGUCUUCGUUAGGAAGUAGCAGAAUUGCUCGUGUCUUUUUGUGUAUUUUUCAAGAAAAAACAAGGAAAAGAAAGAAAUCAAGCAGUGAAUCACAACAUUUAUAGCACAAAAAUAGCUAUUGUAUAUAAGCCUCAAAAAGAUUUAGAAUUUUUAAACAAAAAACUUUGCAGUGAUUUUAAAGUGCUUUUCCAGCAAUUUUCUUAGGGACUCCUGAGACAUGGUUACUUUAUUUACUGGAUCAGUAAGGCACACAAUCAACAAUUAAAAAUAAAUGUUUAUUUACAAAGUAAAGGAAAAACCUGUGUAACAUGAGAAUUUGGCAAGGACAAAAUGGAGACCAUUUUGUAUCUGCUGUUGUAGUUGUCCGGGUUGCAGAUGUGCACUAUUAAAAGUCCCAAGAUAAUAGAGCACAAACCCUACUUGUUCCUCUCCCAUGUACCCUCUUUUUAGAUGUGUUUAAACGUGAUGGCUCAGGAAAAUUCCAAUAAUUAGAAUCAUGUACAGUACCCAGGUUGUUGUCCAGAUAUACAAGUUUGCUAAUUUUAGUUAAGCCUGGAUUAUUAAAUACUUUUCCUAAAUUAUUAUAAGCAGAACAACCUAGAGAAAGGUGUUCUUGGUCCUUAUAUUGUAUAGUAGUUUAUGAAUCCCUCUAAAUAUUGGUAUUUUUGUAUUCCAGAGAUGUUCCCAAUAGAAAAUUUAAACUUUAAUCAGUAUCUAAUUUAAUAUCCAUAAGUAUUUUUCCUUAGAUUUUAGUCAUAAACAGUGGGAUAUGUGGACGUCACUUGUGCUUCACCGUGCUUUUACCACUAGGUGUCACUGUGGCUCUGCACCGCGCUUGUCUGGUAGCAAAGAAAGACAGCCUUCCCUCCAAGGAGCUGCUUCCAGGGCAGCAAAUAGGCCAUAGAGUGAGGUUCAGGACAAAGGGAAAAGCCUAGAAGGGUCGUAAUGCAUCUAUGCCAGUUAUAAUAAGACAGACUCUGAACACUACCUGCUUUGGAACUUCAGCCAGGUAUAGGCUGGGAGAAGGUUGAAUAGCACUCCCUUGCUCUGAUAGAUGGCUGGGUGUGGAGAGGACCCUUUUUUCCCCGUGAUCAUCCCUCCUUUCAGCCUCCAACUUUUAUAACUCCAGAAAUAUCACAGCUGGGUGGUUUGAAUCAAAGAAAGUUAUUUUUCUACUACAGAAAUGCCUUGGACAAAACCAGUUGCUCAUUGAAUCUUUGCCCCAAAAUGGAAAAGGCGCCCCCCACCCCACCCCAAGGAGGCAGGAUGUACCUGCCUGUGCCCGGUUUCUUGUCUCCCAGUGCUCAGCAGCCUCACUCACCCUGCCUGUCUGUCCUUGGGCUGCCCACUUCUCAAGAAGCCGACCUGCAAAGGCAGCCUGCUGCUGCCUCCACAGCAAGGGCCAUGCCUCACUGGGAGGUGUGGUUUCUCCACUUCCUCUAGGAAUUCCAGAUUGACCAUUUACCAUGACUAACAACAAUGAACAAAGGGCUUAGGGGUAAGAGCUACCUACAAAGACGUGUCAUGGAAACCUUCACCAUGCAAUGCCUUGAACUCAGCUCUGGCUGCUCCCAAGAAAAGGUGGCUGGCUGGGGGCCUGGACUUAAGCACAAUGGGGCUGGUGGAGCCACUGUGCAGAGCUACUUGAAUAAUCACUGGGUCUUCAUCAACUCCUUUUGUAAUACAGACCACUCAAGGGCUGAAGUGUUGGUAACCUUCAUUUCGGUGUCCAAUGCCUCACAGCAGCUGAGCCACCAUGAGAUGCUCAUGGCCACAUGAUGGCCACAGUCAGAGCUUUGAAAGUCAGUACCAAAUGAAUGCAUAAUUGGACACCAAAAAUCAAGUGUUACUUUCAUGUUUCCUCACCCUAUCAUCUCAUUUCUUCCUGCUGACUCUGUGAUAUCUACACUAAACUGACAGUCAGGUUGUAGCUGGAUGCGUACAGAUGCAGGCCAGCAUUGCUCUUAUUUUUUCAGAUAGACCUAUUCUGUGGAAAGGAAGUGGCUUAGCUGCUUUGAUUUUGUAACUCUUGGUGGCUGAAUUUUCUUUUGCUAAUCACUAACCAGAAAAUCUGGCUAAGAGGACUCAACUCACUCCCAUCAGUCCCCAGGACUAGACAGAGUUAUUCUGGAAAAUUCAGUACUUGAAUGUACCUGCCUUAUUGUGUAUCACUUUUCGGGGGAGUGGGGUAAGAGAUGCUGGCCCAGAUCUCCACUUCAUUUAUGGGUUGUUUUGGAAAUCCUGUAAGUUAACAGUUCCUGUUCUAUUUUGUUCUUGCUCUUGUUGUUGUUGUUGUUGUUGUUGUUGUUGUUGUUGUUUACCUUUGGCUGAUUCCUGCUGAGUGGGGCCAGUUCCUUGUCAGGCAUGGCCUCCUUUCCAUCUAGCACAGCAUCUGUAUCUCUGUUCUGUCUCCUCCAAAUCCAAGAUGAUUUUAAUUAGUGCAGACAUGUACAGUCUACAAUUAAAGAGUGAUUUGUACUAAUAUAAUUUUGAUUCUUCCUCUUUGCUGUCCUUUCAAGACACUUGCUGGAAAAAGCUUUAAUGCACUUAGUUUUCCUUUAGGUUUUCUAUAACUCAGAUGUAAAGGACUUUCUCUGUACAGUAUAUUAUCCAAUGCAUGUUUGUUCUCUAUCCUGAUAUACUGAACACCACACAGUUGUGAACUCGUGCAGUGGGGAUACCCCACACUCAGCGGAGGCCUCUAGCCCCGUGUAUAAGGAAGACAUUUUCCUUUGCUGUACUUGCUUGAGCAGUUUUAUUGUCUGUACAUGUGAGCUGUGUGAGAUAGAUGUGAAAAGUUCAAAUGAAUGCAUUUUCCUGCCCCAUGUAUACAGAGCGUCAUCUGUACAACAAACUGUAUGUACGAAAGCAAAUGUACUUAUUUAUAAAUGG
ensembl:lncRNA